rnacentral:misc_RNA from 1 species
GAUGAAGAACGCAGCGAAAUGCGAUAAGUAGUGUGAAUUGCAGAAUUCAGUGAAUCAUCGAAUCUUUGAACGCACAUUGCGCCCUUUGGUAUUCCAAAGGGCAUGCCUGUUCGAGCGUCAUUUGUACCAUCAAGCUUUGCUUGGUGUUGGGCGUCUUGUCUCCAGUUCGCUGGAGACUCGCCUUAAAGUAAUUGGCAGCCGGCCUACUGGUUUCGGAGCGCAGCACAAGUCGCGCUCUCUUCCAGCCAAGGUCAGCAUCCACAAAGCCUUUUUUCAACUUUUGACCUCGGAUCAGGUAGGGAUACCCGCUGAACUUAAGCAUAUCAAUAAGCGGAGGA